GAGGAACCCCCGCCCUUUCCGCUCCGGCUUCCUCGUCACACCGCCCGCCCCUCCUGGGUGCGAGGCCUGUCAUUCCUCUAGAAAGGGGAGGGGCCGCGGCACCGCUGGGAACCACUGGCUCUCGGCCCCUCGACCCUUGACUGUGCCCUGGAUCCAAGGCCCCAGGUGUUCCAAGGGCACCUAGUUUCCACCAGGACUGGGU
rnacentral:lncRNA from 1 species